GACAGAGGUGGCAAGCGUUGUCCGGAAUUACUGGGCGUAAAGAGCGCGUAGGUGGCUAGAUAAGUCCGGUGUGAAAUCCUUCGGCUUAACCGGGGAAUGGCAUCGGGGACUGUUUAGCUAGAGGACGGGAGAGGCGAGUGGAAUUCCUGGUGUAGCGGUGAAAUGCGCAGAUAUCAGGAGGAACACCAAUGGCGAAGGCAGCUCGCUGGGACGUGACUGACGCUGAGACGCGAAAGCGUGGGGAGCAAACAGG
rnacentral:rRNA from 1 species